rnacentral:tRNA from 1 species
GGAUUGUGGCUCAGUGGUAGAGCACUCGCCUAGCAUGUGCGGGGACCUAGGUUCAAUCCUCAGCACCA